GAUGAACGCUAGCUACAGGCUUAACACAUGCCAGUCGAGGGGCAGCAUGGUCUUAGCUUGCUAAGGCCGAUGGCGACCGGCGCACGGGUGAGUAACACGUAUCCAACCUGCCGUCUACUCUUGGACAGCCUUCUGAAAGGAAGAUUAAUACAAGAUGGCAUCAUGAGUUCACAUGUUCACAUGAUUAAAGGUAUUCCGGUAGACGAUGGGGAUGCGUUCCAUUAGAUAGUAGGCGGGGUAACGGCCCACCUAGUCUUCGAUGGAUAGGGGUUCUGAGAGGAAGGUCCCCCACAUUGGAACUGAGACACGGUCCAAACUCCUACGGGAGGCAGCAGUGAGGAAUAUUGGUCAAUGGGCGAGAGCCUGAACCAGCCAAGUAGCGUGAAGGAUGACUGCCCUAUGGGUUGUAAACUUCUUUUAUAAAGGAAUAAAGUCGGGUAUGUAUACCCGUUUGCAUGUACUUUAUGAAUAAGGAUCGGCUAACUCCGUG
rnacentral:rRNA from 1 species